GAUGAACGCUGGCGGCGUGCCUAAUACAUGCAAGUCGAGCGAACAGAUGAGGAGCUUGCUCCUCUGACGUUAGCGGCGGACGGGUGAGUAACACGUGGAUAACCUACCUAUAAGACUGGGAUAACUUCGGGAAACCGGAGCUAAUACCGGAUAAUAUAUUGAACCGCAUGGUUCAAUAGUGAAAGACGGUUUUGCUGUCACUUAUAGAUGGAUCCGCGCCGCAUUAGCUAGUUGGUAAGGUAACGGCUACCAAGGCAACGAUGCGUAGCCGACCUGAGAGGGUGAUCGGCCACACUGGAACUGAGACACGGUCCAGACUCCUACGGGAGGCAGCAGUAGGGAAUCUUCCGCAAUGGGCGAAAGCUUGACGGAGCAACGCCGCGUGAGUGAUGAAGGUCUUCGGAUCGUAAAACUCUGUUAUUAGGGAAGAACAAAUGUGUAAGUAACUAUGCACGUCUUGACGGUACCUAAUCAGAAAGCCACGGCUAACUACGUG
rnacentral:rRNA from 1 species